CGCCCUUACGGGAGGCAGCAGCAAGGAAUUUUCCGCAAUGGACACAUGUCUGACGGAGCAACGCCGCGUGACAGGGACGACGGCCUUCGGGUUGUAAACUGCUUUUGGGUGGGACGAUGAUGACGGUACCACCCGAAUAAGCCCCGGCUAACUCCGUGCCAGCAGCCGCGGUAAGACGGAGGGGGCAAGCGUUGUCCGGACUCACUGGGCGUAAAGCGUGCGUAGGUGGUGCGAUGCGUCGGCGCUGAAACCGGGCUUAACCGGGCGACGGGCGACGAUACGAUCGCACUGGAGGCAGGGAGACGUUGGUGGAAUUUCGGGUGUAGUGGUGAAAUGCGUAGAGAUCCGGAGAAUGCCGGUGGCGUAAGCGGCCAACGAGUCCUGAGCUGACACUGAGGCACGAGAGCGUGGGGAGCAAACCGGAUUAGAUACCCGGGUAGUCCACGCCGUAG
rnacentral:rRNA from 1 species